rnacentral:rRNA from 1 species
GACGUAGGAUGCGAGCGUUGUCCGGAAUUAUUGGGCGUAAAGAGCUCGUAGGCGGUCUGUCGCGUCGAAUGUGAAAACCCGGGGCUCAACUCCGGGCUUGCAUUCGAUACGGGCAGGCUAGAGUUCGGUAGGGGAGUCUGGAAUUCCUGGUGUAGCGGUGGAAUGCGCAGAUAUCAGGAGGAACACCGGUGGCGAAGGCGGGACUCUGGGCCGAUACUGACGCUGAGGAGCGAAAGCGUGGGGAGCGAACAGG